CACGUAGACGGUUAUUUUGAUAGUUAUACUAGACAAAAUAGCUAGAGUAUAUAAGAGGAUUAGGGUACCUUUGAAGUAGAGGUGAUAUCCGACUAUAUCAAUAGGGACCACCGACGAGCGAAAGCGCUAAUCUGGCAUAUAACUGACGUUCAAGUGCGAAAGUAUGGGGAGCAAACG
rnacentral:rRNA from 1 species